AUUGAACGCUGGCGGCAGGCCUAACACAUGCAAGUCGAACGGUGUGGCGGACGGUUGAGUACUGUCUGGGAAACUGCCUGUUAGUGGGGGAUAACGUCCGGAAACGGGCGCUAAUACCGCAUUCUAUCAGCUUAGCCUAGGUCGGAUUAGCUAGUGGGGGGGGUAAAGGCCUACCAAGGCGACGAUCCGUAACUGGUCUGAGAGGAUGAUCAGUCACACUGGAACUGAGACACGGCCCAGACUCCUACGGGAGGCAGCAGUGGGGAAUAUUGGACAAUGGGCGAAAGCCUGAUCCAGCCAUGCCGCGUGUGUGAAGAAGGUCUUCGGAUUGUAAAGCACUUUAAGUUGGGAGGCGGUACCAACAGAAUAAGCACCGGCUAACUUCGUGCCAGCAGCCGCGGUAAUUC
rnacentral:rRNA from 1 species